rnacentral:misc_RNA from 1 species
AAACGCCGAGCACGUCCAAUCGCGCACCCACCCACACACCGUCACAGAUUCGUGAGCAAGGCAAACUACAGAGCAAACGCAGACCAGUCCAAGAGCCGUUGGCACGACAGUGUAACACACACACACACACACACAGAAAGACAGAGGAGCGGCCGCUGGGUUGUUUUCCCACUACUGUAAACUCUGUUUGUCUUUGUGAGUCUUGUGUGUCACAGACGGCUUGACGCACCCGCUCACCAAUCUGCCUGCCUGCUUCUCACUUCCACGACAGUGUGCACACGCACUCCGUCUCCACCCAACUGCUUUGUGUGUCUCUCCUUCUUGCUUUCUGUUUUUGUCCCCCCCUCCUCCCCUGGUGAAGAGUCGCACGCGUUGACCUGUUCCGCUCUCCUCCUCCGACUCGCAACGGACGGCUGCAGCGCAAUUUAUUCGCCUUCACUCUUAACUCCUUUGUUUUGCCUCCCCCCUCACCGACCCCUUAUAUAUACAGAGAGAGAGCACGCGUGAGAACCUCGUCUAUAUCCGUCAAGACGAGGGCGGCGCAGGGCCACGAGUGGACAUUGCCGCACCGUUUUCUGUCCUUCUCUUUCUCCAUGUAGCGGUGUGUGCGCCGAUCCCCGCCCUGAGUCUCUGUCUCGUUCUUCUGCUGGCAGAUAACAAGGAAAGAAGGAAGCUGAAGGAGAGUGCUGCACACGGCACUGCAGCUCUCUCCAGAUCUUCUCUCUCUAUAUUUCGGUUGUCACUGCCGUCACCGUCGCCAUCGCUGUCGCCAUGCUCACCCCGAUCCAUGGCGUGAUGGACUUGUCCUUUGCCCCUGGCAAGGAUCAAGAGCUGUCCGACCUGCCGUUUGAGAGAUCGAUGUUGCAGGAGCUGGCGCCAGAGGAGGUGCGUGAGUUGAACGUGACGCAUGCGCAGAUGCUCAGCCUCACCUCUACCCCUGGCGCCCUUAUCAACGAUGUGCUGCGGUAUGUCACGGUGCUACGCGCGGCGCACAACCAUGUUAGCAGCCUUCACGGCAUCGAGGCAUUUGGCUCGCUUGAGGUGCUCGACCUCAGCCACAACUGCCUCCGGGUCGUGGAUGCACAUGGGGCAUCGCUGCUCAGAACGCUGAAGCAGCUGCGCACGGUGGAUUUUUCGUAUAACAACAUGAACCUGCUCGAUCUGAACGUCUCUGCCGGGGCGCCGUCCUCGCGGCUCUCCGGGCUAAGCGCCGGUGCGACGCCUGCGUUUUCCACGAGCGGCCCCAGUGGUGGCAGCGGGCGCCUGUCCUUCUCCGUUGCCGACCCAUCCGACGGUUUGCUCUCUCUGACUGCUAUAAACCUAUCGCACAACGCGUUUAUAGACCUGCCAGACCUGCGCAGUGCGCCGCACCUGCAGGUGCUGAACAUGGGCCACAACAAGCUGGACGCCCUCGCCGAGCUCGACACUCGCCUGCCGCUUCUCUCACUGCACUCACUCGCGCUGCACUCGAAUCAGCUACGGACCGCUACGGUGCUGCUGCCCUUGUGCGCCCUGGCGGCCACGCUCAAGCACACACAGGUCUUUCGCAACCCAUUCACGCUUGCGCAAAGCCGUCCCAAGACAACCAUUAGAAACACCACCAACAGCAGACGCGCCAACCUGCCGGAGGGUGCGCUGGAUGAGUCGAUGUGGUGGCGCCCCUUCCUGCUGUGGCUCUGCCCACUGCUCGUCACUGUUGACCAGGCGGAGUUUACGGCGAGUGAGCGGCGAGUGGCGGCCAUCAUGCUGUUCCGAGAGAACGGCUCUCUCUCCAAGUCGCGUAUGGAGUACAUGAACCCGCAGCGGAAGGACGACCUGGAGGCGUACCUGCGGCGCAACAGCGAGCUCGCCACUCCCCCGCACGAUGCUAUGGCCAUCAUAGACAACAUCGAGCGACAGGAGGAGAGCCUGCAGGAGUACUCGGGCGUCGCGUGGGACGGUGACGCUGAGGGGGCCGGACAGAUGGUGGUGCCCACCUACCGCAUGAACCCCUCCGGGAUUCGCGGGGAGGCAGCAGCGCCCCGUUCCGCCAACGGCACCCUGAGUACAUCACCGAACACGUACCCUGAUCCUGCACCACUAGAGGUUGUCGGGUCAACCCUUCCAGGGGCGACGCCGAUGGCGCAGUUCUCGCGCGGCGCCGGUGGGGCGGCGAGCCGAUCCUCGUCUGGCGCUCGUGUCGUGGUGGUUGCCCCGGAAGCACUGUUCACCGUGAGCCCUAGCUCCAGCGGCGUGCUAAACACAAACCGCAACCGCCAGCGCGUCCACCCCGCCUCCAUGACGAGCUUCGUCCGGGCGCUGCAGAGGAAGCUGCGGUCAAUAGAGGAGGUGGUGGCGGUGCUGUGGCACGCUGACCUGUCGCGACGCACCAGGGCCGCCAUUGUCAUUCAACGCGUCAUGCGCGGCGCGUUGGCGCGCAUGCACCUAUCCGAGGAGGAUGCGGAGAGCUGUCGCUUCAUUCGAUACCAGCUGCAACAGGCGACUGCCGCCUCGGCUGCGCAGGCGGCGCACGUCGCCAGCGGAGCCGCAGCACAGGCGAGUGGCAGUGGCGCUGGCGGCAAUGACAGUGGUAGUGCGGCAACGAGGGGCGUGAGCCAGCGUCACCCGUCGUUAGAGCCGGUAGCGGACACCGGCUCAAACAUGCAGGAGGUUCUCGUCUCCAUGCGUAGCCUGCAGGAGGUGAUGAGCAACAUGUGGGCCGAUCUUGAGGAGUAUCGCGCGAUGGCGGACCGUGAGCAGCGGCGCGCUGCUGUGCUCAUUCAGCGAUACUACCGCGGCUACCGUGCACGCUGUGAGUACGGGCGGGCUUUAAAGCAUCACCGCUCACUGGCGCCACCUCCGUCGUCGUGCGCCGCCGCAUGCCGGUGCGCUUCGGAAACCGCCUGCCUGCGGAAGGAGGUGAGUGAGCUGCGCAGCGAGGUGAGGGAGCUUCGUGCGCUUCUUCAGCAGACGACGCGCCAGCAGCGACUGGCCGCAUACGACGACCCGGAGCGCGCAAUGGACGAAAUCAUUCGCAAACACGAGCAGCGCAGCAACGCCGAUAUACUCGCUGAGCCAACGUACUGCCCGCGCUCAAACGGCAGCAGCCAAUCUCCCAGCGACAUGCCCAGCCUCAUCGAGCGAGCAGUUGGCGGCAGCGCGUCAGCGGAGAAGGCGGCGGACGACAUCGACCAGGAUCCAUGCCAGCCGAUGACGGACGAUGGCGACGACGACGGCACCGCGAGGACGCUGGAAACAAACGACGGCCAACUUUCGGGAAGCGCAGCGCUGUCACAUAGGGGGCCGGUGACCAUGUCACAAUCCCCCGAGCUGACCUCUCCGCUUGACAGCAUGUAUUCGAGACAACGUGCAUCAAUGCAGACGACGCGCAUCACGAAGUUACGGCCGAACUCGGGGAGCAUAGUAAACGCUAGGCAGAUUGGCAAGGAGUAGGUGAGGCCGGAUGGAUAUCGCAGUCCCCGUCUCCACAAGGAGCGAAAGGAAAGAGCCAGUGCGUUUGGCCGCAUCAUCAUCGCGGCUCGAAAAGCGGGUGGAGACGGACGCAGCGAAGCGACAGGGCCCCAUCCUCUCUCUCUCUCUUUCUCUUUGGCCGUGCGCCACAGAUUUGCUGCAGCUCGUGUUGGCCGUGCUCGAGACGGCGGGCGGCGGGGGCGCGGUGAAUUGAAGGGAAAGCACGGGGCGCACGUCUCUGUGUGUCUGACGGAUGUGUGCACCAUCUCUUAGGCUUCUUUUGCUUUUUUUAAGAUUUCAGUACUGUUGCUCGGCCACGUGUAGGCGUGCCAUCAGGAAGCGGGUCGGAACGUUCGAGGUGCAUCAUCUACACACACACACACAUACACAACGAACGAGCUCUUCACGGCGGCGCCUUUAAGCGUUCUCAUCUUUCUCAUCUAGGCGAUAUGCGAGGCG